UACGUAGGGUGCAAGCGUUGUCCGGAAUUAUUGGGCGUAAAGAGCUUGUAGGCGGUUUGUCGCGUCUGCUGUGAAAUUUCGGGGCUCAACCCCGAACUUGCAGUGGGUACGGGCAGACUAGAGUGUGGUAGGGGAGACUGGAAUUCCUGGUGUAGCGGUGAAAUGCGCAGAUAUCAGGAGGAACACCAGCGGCGAAGGCGGCGCUCUGGGCCGGUACUGACGCUGAGGAGCGAAAGCGUGGGGAGCAAACAGG
rnacentral:rRNA from 1 species